GCUGGGCGUGGUGGCACACGCCUAUAAUCCCAGCAGCUUGGGAGGCUGAGACAGGAGGACCGAGAAUUUAAAACCAGCCUCAGCAACUUGGUGAGACCCUGUGUCUA
rnacentral:sRNA from 1 species